ACCAACGCAGCUGCCAAAGCUUGCCCCCAUCGUGAUCGAUGUCUAUAAAUAUGAGCCUUCAGUAAUCAGUAGGCACUAAGAAGCACUACAGCAGGACAUACACUCCUCAAACUAAUCAGCCAGCCAAAGAAAACUUUGACAUGGGGUCCUUCGCUAGAGCUGCGCGUUUCCUGCUGCUCAUCGUCCUGUUCAUCUUCUCCGCUGCGAUCAUGAGCGACUCCGUCCGCGUCGGAGCAAGCGGCAUCAAUGUUGGUCAUCCUGUGUGUGUCAGGCAACCGUGUCCAUCUCGUCCACCUGGUGAACCCUACACCCGACCGUGCACCCGAGCUGACGGGUGCAUCGGCCAACCCUGAUACCUGCACACUCCUUCUGCCCGAUAAUGGAAGGCAGCCCAUAGGCAGGCCUCCUAGCAGUACAAGUUACUGCGUUAUACUGAACCGAUAGUGGUAUUGUCUCAAGUGCGUGUACUUAUACAUAUUAUUACUCCGAAUAAAACUGGAUGUCUGGCCUGAUAUGAUAGGUUCUACAAACAAGAAAGUCCGCUUCAAAAAAUAGUCCCGUUGUUCCACAAUAUAAUAAGUUUUGGCAAACUAAAAUAACAUGAAAAUAUAUUUUAUAUC